CAUGUAGGCGGAUUGAUAAGUUUGAAGUGAAAUCCUAUAGCUUAACUAUAGAACUGCUUUGAAAACUGUUAAUCUAGAAUGUGGGAGAGGUAGAUGGAAUUUCUGGUGUAGGGGUAAAAUCCGUAGAGAUCAGAAGGAAUACCGAUUGCGAAGGCGAUCUACUGGAACAUUAUUGACGCUGAGACGCGAAAGCGUGGGGAGCAAACA
rnacentral:rRNA from 1 species